ACGAAAUUUUUGUUAAAACAAAAAAAAGAAUACAGCGCAGCUCCUUUGAUGCAAUAAUGGGCCAAGCCCAAAAUUACUUUCCUUUACACUAAAUUAUGAUGCACUACAAACUUACUAACCCUAAUUGCACUCUCAGACUCUCUCAGACUCUCUCUCUCUCUCUCUCUCUAAAAACAUAAGCGCCGCUUCCCGGUUCUUCUCAAUCUCUCAUCCUCUGCUCAACGGCUCAAUUCUUCGGUUCCUCUUCAUUCACUCGGUGUAUUUAUUCAACGAAAUUUUGGCAUCCCGUUAUCACAAAGCUACGAAUGGAGGAUGCAACACACUACAUUUUAGAUUUUUAGAUAUUUUUCUUACUAUUUAAGUUUUAAUUGAUUGUUUGAUUUUGUUGUAAUAUAAUUUUAAUAUUUAAUCCUGCACUUUUGUUUUGGUUUUAUGUUGAUGUUAAACACCAUCGUUAUUUCCAGAUCUAAUGAAAAAAGCUUGAUUAAUAUUCUUGUA